AAGUCGUAACAAGGUUUCCGUAGGUGAACCUGCGGAAGGAUCAUUAAAGGUUUCGGGUACAGAGUGCCCAAACUUCAACCCUAUGUUUUAACUAAACCAGUUUCUUUGCCGGUUUCGGCCGGCAGAAGUUUUCUAAAACUCAUUAUAAAUGUGUCUUCUGAAUCAAAAUUAAAUAAAUUAAAACUUUCAACAACGGAUCUCUUGGUUCUG
rnacentral:misc_RNA from 1 species